rnacentral:rRNA from 1 species
GCUACAGGCUUAACACAUGCAAGUCGAGGGGCAGCAUGGUCUUAGCUUGCUAAGGCCGAUGGCGACCGGCGCACGGGUGAGUAACACGUAUCCAACCUGCCGUCUACUCUUGGACAGCCUUCUGAAAGGAAGAUUAAUACAAGAUGGCAUCAUGAGUCCGCAUGUUCACAUGAUUAAAGGUAUUCCGGUAGACGAUGGGGAUGCGUUCCAUUAGAUAGUAGGCGGGGUAACGGCCCACCUAGUCUUCGAUGGAUAGGGGUUCUGAGAGGAAGGUCCCCCACAUUGGAACUGAGACACGGUCCAAACUCCUACGGGAGGCAGCAGUGAGGAAUAUUGGUCAAUGGGCGAGAGCCUGAACCAGCCAAGUAGCGUGAAGGAUGACUGCCCUAUGGGUUGUAAACUUCUUUUAUAAAGGAAUAAAGUCGGGUAUGGAUACCCGUUUGCAUGUACUUUAUGAAUAAGGAUCGGCUAACUCCGUGCCAGCAGCCGCGGUAAUACGGAGGAUCCGAGCGUUAUCCGGAUUUAUUGGGUUUAAAGGGAGCGUAGAUGGAUGUUUAAGUCAGUUGUGAAAGUUUGCGGCUCAACCGUAAAAUUGCAGUUGAUACUGGAUAUCUUGAGUGCAGUUGAGGCAGGCGGAAUUCGUGGUGUAGCGGUGAAAUGCUUAGAUAUCACGAAGAACUCCGAUUGCGAAGGCAGCCUGCUAAGCUGCAACUGACAUUGAGGCUCGAAAGUGUGGGUAUCAAACAGGAUUAGAUACCCUGGUAGUCCACACGGUAAACGAUGAAUACUCGCUGUUUGCGAUAUACUGCAAGCGGCCAAGCGAAAGCGUUAAGUAUUCCACCUGGGGAGUACGCCGGCAACGGUGAAACUCAAAGGAAUUGACGGGGGCCCGCACAAGCGGAGGAACAUGUGGUUUAAUUCGAUGAUACGCGAGGAACCUUACCCGGGCUUAAAUUGCAGAUGAAUUACGGUGAAAGCCGUAAGCCGCAAGGCAUCUGUGAAGGUGCUGCAUGGUUGUCGUCAGCUCGUGCCGUGAGGUGUCGGCUUAAGUGCCAUAACGAGUGCAACCCUUGUUGUCAGUUACUAACAGGUUCCGCUGAGGACUCUGACAAGACCGCCAUCGUAAGAUGUGAGGAAGGUGGGGAUGACGUCAAAUCAGCACGGCCCUUACGUCCGGGGCUACACACGUGUUACAAUGGGGGGUACAGAGGGCCGCUACCACGCGAGUGGAUGCCAAUCCCCAAAACCUCUCUCAGUUCGGACUGGAGUCUGCAACCCGACUCCACGAAGCUGGAUUCGCUAGUAAUCGCGCAUCAGCCACGGCGCGGUGAAUACGUUCCCGGGCCUUGUACACACCGCCCGUCAAGCCAUGGGAGCCGGGGGUACCUGAAGUGCGUAACCGCGAGGAGCGCCCUAGGGUAAAACUGGUGACUGGGGCUAAGUAA